AAUAAGAGUCAAAUUACUAAUAAUUUAAACGACCUUGAUUGCUCGAGGCAGAAUGGUCGACCGCGGCACAAAUAAAUCCUAUACACUAGAUAGAACAGGCAAUUUGCUGACACAAACUGAAUACUUUGCUGCAUCGAUCAUGCACUACUGCAGAAGAUCCUAAGAUGCCUGUACUAAGUUGAUCAACUGGUAGUAGGCUUCACAACUACCUGUACGUAGCUGUCUAUCACUCCCGGAUAAAGAACCGAUAGUGAAAUAACCCUCACUCCCAGUUUAUGUCACCAGACGGGCUAACUAAGUAGCCAUUAUUUUGGCCACUGUAAGGUAAUAACCAUUUCGCAUGAUACUUUCUGACCAAUAUAUACCAUGCCACCCUUUCUUCCUAAGAGAAUACCACAACCAAUCAUCAUCACCCACAAAGAACUUUGACUCUGUGCUCAAGGUAGCUACCAAAUGUCCGGGUAGGUUUGGUCAAGUAUCUAUGAAGAAGAAGAAUGCAAGCAUCCAAACUGAAGGAACUGAGAGGCAUCGGGGAAAUAAAUUGACACUGUCCUGUCCUUCCAUCCUAGAAUGGGCCGAAGAGACGGUCAAAAUGGCUCAGAUCGUCGGCUAGCAGAACUGACUGGCAAAAGUUUGUAUUGUAUGGAGCUGAUUGUCAUGUUGUUGUUAGCUAGGCGGGCCGAUCAUGUCGGCACAAGGGGCUUCAAGUGGUUUAUUUCAGUGUUUUCCAUUGGUCCGAGCUUUCACAUAUUUCACACCAGCUACCGAUGUUUCAGCCACUAGUUAGCUUGUAGAAAACAAUAUAUAGUGCUGUGCAGCCUAGUGGUUACAGUCACUUAGUACUUCUAGCACCCUAACUCAUGGGUUCUAAUCCCUGUGAGAGUGAAUUUCAGGGCCUGAUAAAAAAG
rnacentral:lncRNA from 1 species